rnacentral:rRNA from 1 species
UACGAAGGGGACUAGCGUUGUUCGGAAUCACUGGGCGUAAAGCGUACGUAGGCGGAUUCGUAAGUCAGGGGUGAAAUCCCGGGGCUCAACCCCGGAACUGCCUUUGAUACUGGGUAUCUCGAGUCCGGAAGAGGUGAGUGGAAUUCCGAGUGUAGAGGUGAAAUUCGUAGAUAUUCGGAGGAACACCAGUGGCGAAGGCGGCUCACUGGUCCGGUACUGACGCUGAGGUGCGAAAGCGUGGGGAGCAAACAGG